rnacentral:rRNA from 1 species
AUACGGAGGAUGCAAGCGUUAUCCGGAUUUAUUGGGUUUAAAGGGUGCGUAGGCGGGACUGUAAGUCAGGGGUGAAAUACUGCAGCUUAACUGUAGCAUUGCCUUUGAACCUGCCGUUCUUGAUGACAGUUGAGGUAGGCGGAAUGUGGUGUGUAGCGGUGAAAUGCAUAGAUAUACCACAGAACGCCGAUUGCGAAGGCAGCUUACUAAGCUGUUACUGACGCUGAGGCACGAAAGCGUGGGGAUCAAACAGGAUUAGAUACCCUGGUAGUCCACGCUGUAAACGAUGAUUACUGGUUGUUAGCGAUAUAUAGCUAGUGACUGAGCGAAAGCAUUAAGUAAUCCACCUGGGGAGUACGUCGGCAACGAUGAAACUCAAAUGAAUUGGCGGGG